CUGAUGUGAAGGCUUUCUUGUGGUAACCAAAGAGACAAAGCCCGGCAGAAAAAUUUGAAAAAACAAGAAGAAUCUCGAAAGAAAUCUACAGCUGAUAAGAAAACUGGCAAUAAGGGAAUGACACUUGAAGAACGAAGACAUAGAGAUGCUGACAUAAUGCGUAAAAAACAAGAGAAGAAUAAAGGCACGGAACCAGCUGGAUCUGCAGUUGCUGAAAAAUAGGGGAUUUUGUCCUGAGCUAUAUUUAAUGUGGCUCCCCUUUGCUCUCUGUCACCUUUUCCCAAAGCAGCUCUAAGGUAGUUUCUUAGGAAAAUGGCUAUAAUACACCCCCUUCUCUUUCUCUGUCCCUUCAAGAUAAAAAAAAAUACUGUCUUUUUUUUUUCUUCUACGUGAAUCUGUAAAUGUUAUUUUGUUUUAAGUUUUCAAUGUACAAACCUUUUUUUUUUUUCUAUUUCAAGUAACAUAAUGCCCUGUAAAUUAACUGGUACUAUCUCCUCUGUACAGUGGUUUAGCACUGUUAAAUAACCUAAUUGUCGUCAGACAGCCUAACUCAUGCCAUUUAUGUACAUAAAAAAAACAUCUUCAAACUUUUUAAUCUGACCAGAUGAUCAUCAGUUGAAUAAAGUAAGUUCUCUUUGCAAAAUACGACUGAACCUUCCUAACCAGAAAUUUUUUAUUUCUUUCCUUCCUAAAUAUUUCUUCUUGUCUCCUUUAAAAUAAUAAAAA